AUUAAAUGGUUUAAUUAUUUAUGGCAAGGAUUAAUUAAUAUGUUAAUUAAUCAAACAAAUAAGUUCGUUAAAGACCUCGGGAUAGUUUUGGACCUUAAGGCCCAAUGGGCUUCGAACGUCAAGCCCAUUGACUUAAGUUGUAUGACAACUUAAUGAAUAAUGAUUCACAAAGGCCCAAUUAGCCCAAUAAUACCCUAAGGUCAGCCAUUUAGAGAUGGAGUGAGUUUUGGACUUAUUUACAAGUUUGCCACUCCAAUGAAUUAAGGUAUAAAUAUGACUUUAUAGCUAAAAUUCAUUUAGGGUUUUCUUUUGGGGAAAGGAUGAGAAC
rnacentral:lncRNA from 1 species